rnacentral:rRNA from 2 species
UUCGGGGUACACGAGCGGCGAACGGGUGAGUAACACGUGGGUAACCUGCCCCAUACUCUGGGAUAAGCCUGGGAAACUAGGUCUAAUACCGGAUAUGACACCGAGACGCAUGUUUCGGUGUGGAAAGUUCCGGCGGUAUGGGAUGGACCCGCGGCCUAUCAGCUUGUUGGUGGGGUAAUGGCCUACCAAGGCGACGACGGGUAGCCGGCCUGAGAGGGCGACCGGCCACACUGGGACUGAGACACGGCCCAGACUCCUACGGGAGGCAGCAGUGGGGAAUAUUGCACAAUGGGCGAAAGCCUGAUGCAGCGACGCCGCGUGAGGGAUGACGGCCUUCGGGUUGUAAACCUCUUUCAGCAGGGACGAAGCGCAAGUGACGGUACCUGCAGAAGAAGCACCGGCUAACUACGUGCCAGCAGCCGCGGUAAUACGUAGGGUGCGAGCGUUGUCCGGAAUUAUUGGGCGUAAAGAGCUCGUAGGCGGUUUGUUGCGUCGACCGUGAAAACCUGGGGCUUAACCCUGGGCUUGCGGUCGAUACGGGCAGACUUGAGUUCGGCAGGGGAGACUGGAAUUCCUGGUGUAGCGGUGAAAUGCGCAGAUAUCAGGAGGAACACCG